rnacentral:lncRNA from 1 species
UUAUCAUGCACUUUGCUCUCCGAUCGAGCGACUCGCAUAGGGAAAGAGAAGAACGAGGAUAAACAGGGUUGGGCACUUUCAUUCUUCAUGCUGUAGGCCAAAAAGUUCGUCCAUUCACUUUCAUUCUUCAUGCUGUAGGCCAAAAAGAAGACAGAGGGUUGAGGAGAAAAAUCGUCCUCACAGACGAAACACCAAGUUCGGUCAAGAACAGAAGAAGAGAAAAGGGGAUCACAUGAAAAAUAACGAGGAUCUCGGCCGCCCCUUCUCCAAGACGAUGAAGCAUUAAUUUAUACAAACACCAAACUCUCGAUCUUAAUUGCUACAUCAUCAGGUGACCAUAUUCCAUUCUUUUUGCUCUUGCACACAAGACGCACUAACCUCCACGCCGAAGUUCUCAACGCCGGCCUGACGCUGCUUCCCCUGGCACGAGGGCACCCGGGGCUAGAGGCCCCCGGCCUUCCCGGCGGCGUCCUCCAGCGCUCGUCCGAUCGACCACCUAAGGCGCUGCAACCGCACCCGAAGAUCAUCGGCGCUCGACGCGAGUGGGCGGCCAACGUACUCCGGUGCGGCACAGUUUCCAGCGCAUGGCGGUGCCCUCAGGCGCUGUGCGACACGGCCUCGCUUCCCAAGCAGCGGCGGUGGCGCAACCACCGGCCGGCUCGCACUGAGCGGCGGCGGUUACCAGUGGCCAGGAAGCACACACGGGAGAAGAAAUUGGGGAUUUCUUAUCUCUUUGGUGGAUUUUCAAUUCAGCCCUUAGAUUCGAGCCUAAUCUAGUAUAAGUCCCUUAAAAUAUCUGUGUAAACCACAGUUUAACAGGUCUCUGCCGUUUAGCCCUCUGGCUUACUGCAUUUUAGAACCGGGCCAUUAGGCCAAUGGACUUUGCUGUUUAGUACUCGAACUUACUCUUUUCAACAAUUUAACCCUAUGGUUAUCGCAGUUUACAAUCUAAG